AACAACAACAACAACAACAACAACAAACAACUUCGGAAGCGGGAGAGCUAUGGAUAGUCUGAAGUAUCGCGAUAAUUCCCCUCAAGGCAGUGAAUGUGUCAUGGCGGCCUCCUGUGUUUACAAAUUCGCAGCAUAACUUGAUUUCGUAACUGCUGCUAUAUAAAUCCAGUGUACGGCUAAGUUGUAAGAAGUAUUCUAGCCAUUCGAAGACUCAAUUUGAGUGAAGAAGAGUGACUACUUUUGCCGAGGAGGCUGGUAAACCUAAUAGAGAAACCGUGAGGCAGACCAAACUGUGUCCCGUGGGUGCUGUGAUGACCCCAUCCUUCCCCAGACUGAGACAUCCACACUGCAGGAAGAAGCACUACCCCAAUAGCACCAACCACACCAGGAGGCUGGCAGACCACCAGGGAGCCAUGGGAAAGAGAUUUGAGAGGAGGCACAGAAGGAUAGAAGGAAAAAAGAAAGAGUUAUUGAGAUAAAGAGAUGUCUGAUCCAGUAGAGAGUGCUGAAAGUGGGGUUGUGGCAGGCGUUGGGCAGGAGGCAGAGGCCGAUAGUGAGCCUCCUCAGUCAAUCCCACAUCUACCCCAGGUGUAUAGCCUGGAGUUGGGGGAGAAUCUGGAAGAAGAUACCCUUCCAGCGGCUAAGCAGCCCAGGCUGUGGAGAGGGGCUGAGUCUGAGCCUGGACCCCCAUGAUACAUAUAGAGGACCCAUAGAAUAGGCCGGAGGGUGUGAGGAUGACUUGGCUGUACUGAUCCAAGAUGGAGGUUAAUUACUCAUUUGAGGUAUUCCAAUACCUUGCAAACAAGGGCACUUAUUGGUAAAUGUUUACAAAUAAAAAAAGCACACAUUGAAUA